rnacentral:miRNA from 1 species
UGACCCCACCUCCACAGAGGGA